CGAUCAGAAAAACCAAAAUAAUUUUAUGUUCUUACAUCACCAAGAAUAUUCUUUAAUUACAAGCAAAGAAAAUACAUGAACAUUAUAUCUGCACCAAGGUAGCCAAAUCGACAAAAUAUGGCUUCCAUUUUACCUUUUAGUAUCUUCACAACACCAGGUAGUUGCUUCAUCUUCUAUACAGGUAGGUUCCCAAACAAAAAAAGUAUAGAACUUGACUUGGCAAUGACGGGAGAACUAGAAUAACAAGGGACUACUAGCUUCUUCACCUCAGGUAUCAUAUCAUUUCUCCUUGUCAAUUGUUGCCUUAGUUUAUAUAUAACUUCAUAUUUGCUGAAGACAUCGCAGCCAGAUCCUGAGACAGAUGGUGAAUCAGAGAACAGUUUGAAUGAUGAAAUGGCUUUGGAGGGAACUCAAGGCGAUCAUGGGAUGGUGCCGACCUACCUACAUAACCCCAUUCUUGUUACUAAAUUCUGGGGCAUAAUAACAACUCAUUGAAAGCAAUUUUGCCGAGCCCGCUGGGCUAGUGGGCUUCACCAAAGCGGGGUCGUGAAUGAUCGCCUCAGAGGCAAGAAAAAAUGAAAAUUAGUUUAUGCAAUUUGAUUGCAAUUUAAAGAAUGAACAACUUUCCUCCAAUUUUCUUACACGAGGACCGCACGCAAAUCGCAGUGCCUGCGAUGAAGAAAUUAACAUUAAGCCUCACAAUCUUAAUUAAUCUUAUGCGUGACAUUGGCGGUCACUUAUGCCUUCUGGCCUUUAUUACAAUUAUCAAUUGAGAAGGAUGUAUGAGGCCAACACUAAGUUACGUGUAAC
rnacentral:lncRNA from 1 species